rnacentral:rRNA from 1 species
GACGAACGCUGGCGGCGUGCUUAACACAUGCAAGUCGAACGGAAAGGCCCCCAUCUUGGUGGGGGUGCUCGAGUGGCGAACGGGUGAGUAACACGUGGGUGAUCUGCCCUGUACUUCGGGAUAAGCUUGGGAAACUGGGUCUAAUACCGGAUAGGACCAUGGUUUAGUGUCUCAUGGUGGAAAGAUUAUUGUUUUGGUUCAGGAUGAGCUCGCGGCCUAUCAGCUUGUUGGUGGGGUAAUGGCCUACCAAGGCGUCGACGGGUAGCCGGCCUGAGAGGGUGGACGGCCACAUUGGGACUGAGAUACGGCCCAGACUCCUACGGGAGGCAGCAGUGGGGAAUAUUGCACAAUGGGCGCAAGCCUGAUGCAGCGACGCCGCGUGGGGGAUGACGGCCUUCGGGUUGUAAACUCCUUUCGUUAGGGACGAAGCCGCACUUUUUUUGGGUGUGGUGACGGUACCUUUGUUAAGAAGCACCGGCUAACUACGUG